rnacentral:lncRNA from 1 species
GCUGAUAAGGACUGAAAGGGGGGGAUCAAAAGCCCCAAAACUUGGUAUAAGUAAUAGAGCAAAUGAACAGACAUUCAGCCGGCUGACACUGAUGCCCUCAGCUGAGAACCUGAUGAGGACCUGGACUGACACCCCAACACUUUUCAUCGUUUGCUGAUCCUCUGCAUCUUCCUCUCUGCUCUCGAACUCUACAGCCACAUCUUGACCCUGGUGAGAGCCACAACUUCUCCUUAGGACACUCUCCUCCACCAGCUCCACCCCAAGAGAAGUCGGCCUUGGUUCCUGACCUGAUCACUGUGGUCUGAGCGAGGGUCAUCUGCUGGACUUAGAGCCUAAGGCUUGAGACAUUUGAACUGACACUUGAACUUAGCACGCGGAGGGAAUGUCUGUCGUGAGCCUGUCAGGGUGUGUUUGCAGUGCUCAGAAUUAAUUAAUCUAGAAUUGUUCACUGUGGAUUAAUUAAUUGAGAAUUGCUAGCUGUGAAUUGAUGAUGUCUAUUGCAGUGCCUAGCAUUACGGAUUGUCGUUUUCUUGACUAAGAACCUAUAGAGUGAAAUUGUAGUGAGUGAUCUGAGUGAAUAAAGCAUGGACUAGGGCAGAAGCACGUGGAUGUUCUAUAUUUCUCCCCCUCGACUGCAUACGUCACAGCUUUUGCCCAUCGUGACAUCCCAUCACCAGCCCAACCUGAGCAGGCCAGCAGCCUCUGCUCAGCAUCGGCUUGAACGCAGCCAGUCACCAUGCCCCAGGCCACGCAGCAACAGAUGACUGUCACACUAAGAAGUGACACAUAGCAUGUCCUCUCAGGUCUCAUGGGCCCAGCGGGCCACCCAACUACAAAGAGACUGAAAUUGCAAUCCUGCUUCAUUCCUGUCUGGAAAAGGAAAAGGAAACUCCGCAAAGAGACUGUCCUG